rnacentral:rRNA from 1 species
AUUGAACGCUGGCGGCAGGCCUAACACAUGCAAGUCGAACGGUAACAGGAAACAGCUUGCUGUUUCGCUGACGAGUGGCGGACGGGUGAGUAAUGUCUGGGAAACUGCCUGAUGGAGGGGGAUAACUACUGGAAACGGUAGCUAAUACCGCAUAACGUCGCAAGACCAAAGAGGGGGACCUUCGGGCCUCUUGCCAUCGGAUGUGCCCAGAUGGGAUUAGCUAGUAGGUGGGGUAACGGCUCACCUAGGCGACGAUCCCUAGCUGGUCUGAGAGGAUGACCAGCCACACUGGAACUGAGACACGGUCCAGACUCCUACGGGAGGCAGCAGUGGGGAAUAUUGCACAAAGGGCGCAAGCCUGAUGCAGCCGUGCCGCGUGUAUGAAGAAGGCCUUCGGGUUGUAAAGUACUUUCAGCGGGGAGGAAGGGAGUAAAGUUAAUACCUUUGCUCAUUGACGUUACCCGCAGAAGAAGCACCGGCUAACUCCGUG